UGCCAGUAUAAUAUGCUUGUUUCAAAGAUUAAGCCAUGCAAGUGUCAGAACCUCAUCGCGCUUGGUUUACUGAGUGUUGAUCUGGGAAUCUGUGGAUUGCUCAUUAAAAGAGUUAUAUACUCAGCCACUGGUAAUUGUGACGCAAGAAACUUCCAUGGAUAAUGCAGCUAACUGCAGCAAUAAUACAUGAAUUAAAAGAGUGAAAUCGCUGAUUUCUAGUAGUAAUUAAGUGAGGAAACUUUUUUAUUAAAGCAAUUUCGUUUAUUGAGGCGCAAGCUGAGGUAGAUGAGUUGUGAUUGACCGACUUAAACAAAUAUGGGUCUGGCAGGAGACUUUUAAUAGGGUUUCUGAGCUGGAUUCAGAAAGUUGGCCCAGAGGAAGUGUUUCUUACCUAUCAGUUAGUAGUUUCGGUAAGGGCCAAACUAGACUGUCACGGGUACGGGGAAUUAGUGUUCAAAUCCGGAGAGGGAGCCUGAGAAAUAGCUACCACAUCUAAGGACGGCAGCAGGCGCGAAAAUUAUCCACUGCUAAUACAGCGAGAUAGUGACAAGAAAUAACGACCUUCAAACGAAGGGUACCAGUCAAAUGGUUUGGAAUGGAGGUAGAUUAAACUUCUAUCUGAGUAACAAUUAGAGGAUUAGUCUGGUGCCAGCACCCGCGGUAAUUCCAGCUCUAAUAGUGUAUUUUAAAGUUGUUGCAGUUAAAACGCUCGUAGUCAACCUAAAAGUGCAAGAAUUGCUUCGUCGACGAGGUGAAGUAUGUCGUCAUUAGAUAUUUAAGUGAUGGCACAUGAAUCUUUGUUGACUCUGGCAACGAACGCUUUAGUCCAGUUCUACUGGAUUGGGCGCAAGUUGUGGGGCAAAUAUUUGUACUUGUUCUCAACUGUGAUUAAAUCAGAGUGAUUCAAACAGGCAAUGAUGGUUGCAAAACCUCGCCAGAAUGAUUCAGCAUAGCACUGAAUUAUUAGUCCACCCGGACGAAAAUAAAGGGAGUUUGGAAAAGGGAACGAGUAUUGUUGCGCUAGAGGUGAAAUUCAGAGAACGUAACAAGACUAACAGACGCGAAAGCGGUCUCCCGUCACAUCUCCGUCGAUCAGGAACGAAAGUUGGGGGAGCGAAAAUGAUUAGAUACCGUUGUAGUCCCAACUGUAAACUAUAUUGACACAAGAUCGGC
rnacentral:rRNA from 1 species